GAUGAACGCUGGCGGCGUGCCUAAUACAUGCAAGUCGAGCGAACGGACGAGAAGCUUGCUUCUCUGAUGUUAGCGGCGGACGGGUGAGUAACACGUGGAUAACCUACCUAUAAGACUGGGAUAACUUCGGGAAACCGGAGCUAAUACCGGAUAAUAUUUUGAACCGCAUGGUUCAAAAGUGAAAGACGGUCUUGCUGUCACUUAUAGAUGGAUCCGCGCUGCAUUAGCUAGUUGGUAAGGUAACGGCUUACCAAGGCAACGAUGCAUAGCCGACCUGAGAGGGUGAUCGGCCACCUCGGAACGUAGACAGGGUCCAGACUCCUACGGGAGGCAGCAGUAUGGAAUCUUCCGCAAUGGGCGAAAGCCUGACGGAGCAACGCCGCGUGAGUGAUGAAGGUCUUCGGAUCGUAAAACUCUGUUAUUAGGGAAGAACAUAUGUGUAAGUAACUGUGCACAUCUUGACGGUACCUAAUCAGAAAGCCACGGCUAACUACGUG
rnacentral:rRNA from 1 species